GAAUGGUGGGAAGGGGCGGGAUCUUGCCGCCGCGGCUGCCGCUGGAGCCGGUGUCCGGGCUGGUGAUGGGGUUAAUUUCCUUUCGUAAGACUCUUACUUGUACCCACCCAGACCCGCCGUCGCCCCGCCGCGCCGUGCUCCAAUCGCCUCCUCCUCCUCAAUAACGCGGAAUGUCUUAAGAAAUACGUGAAGCUGAGGAUGGUGUACACACCUGUAAUCCCAGCACUCCAGAAGCUGAGGCAAGAAGUUCAGAAGUUUGAGGCCAGAUUGAGCUACGUAGAGUAUGUGGCUGCCCCCUACAAUACCAGGU
rnacentral:lncRNA from 1 species